AAAUUAUCAAGACCAAUAUUCUCUAAAUUGAAAGUCUUCACAAAAAAGGUUAUACUCAUGAAAAGGUAAACACCCACGGAAUAAAUGUUUUCUAUUUACAUGAAGAUAUUUAAAUGAUCAAGAUACAAUAUUUUAAUAACCUAACCUCGUCUAAUAAAAAAAGAAGUUCAUUGGAGCACAACUUAAAUGAAUAAGCACAAAGAAGUUUUGCAUGAUAGAUGGCAAUUAUUUGAUUAAAAUAGGAUUUCUGAUUCAUUACAUAAUUAUAGACCUCUGUGUUUAGUCCUAAUCUUAAAAUCAGAAUUUCGUAACAAUUAUUUUAUUCCUUGAACUGGACAUGCUAAUAAUUGGACUAUUAUGCAGCUUGUAACAUUAGCACACAAUGUUUUAAAUAUUGAUUCUGGAUAAUUUUUCUCAGGUAAAUGUGUUUGGAAUAGCAUAACUUUGUUUGUAAUCGUCACCAUGUUAGGUAAGUUAGGUAUACAUUUAGAAUUUGUUUAUAGAAAUCAGGUUAUGUUUGUACUAUUUGAUGGGGUGUUUAUAUUGAUGUACAAGAAUUUUGUUGGUCCAUAACACUGGAUCAUAAAGCCAAUUUAAUAACAUUCCAAUCGAUUUGAUAUUUUAGUCUUAGUCAUGCAGUCAGUGCAGUUGUAAACCAUUUCAAGAUUAUUUUAACGGUUUAACUUGUUUCUUUGUUUAUAGUCUGGAUAUUAACCUUAAAAUUCUUGAUGGAAUUACUCUUGUCAAAUGUUUAAGAAUUUUAAGAUAUUUUGACAUUUUAAUACAUUAAUAAAGAAGGACUUAGUCUUCCAAAGCAUUGAUUUUCCUCACAUUUAACAUGGAUAUUUAAAUCAUGUAUAUAUACACAACGUCAAUUCUAUUUCAUGAUUUGCAGAGAAUUUAAAUUAGAGACAAUAGUCUAUACACCUCAUUGCUAUUUGUCCACCAUUACUGGACAUACAUGUAACAGAAGUUCCUGUAAAAUUUUGAAAUCACAAGAGAAAAUGUUUAAUGCCACAAAGGAAAUAUGAUUGUUGUAUGACAUCAAUAGUUCAAGUGUCACAAAAUCUCAGGUCAAGUGUUGCAGAUCCCAAAAUAGCAGCAAGAUCUAUUGCUUCUCUUGGGUUUAGUUUAAACAUAUUUUAUUUGCUGAAUUAAAGCAAAAUGGAUUAGACACAAGUAAAUUCUUUCCCAUUAUCUUGGAUGUCUUCAUACAAUUUGUUGUAAUAUUUGCAAAUGUACAGACCAUCAGGACACAAAUAUUUUCUUUCAUGCCACAAUUGUUUAUUUUCUCACCCGGCAGCAAUUUCUUAUUUGACAUCUUGUUUGCUGUACCUGUUUUUAUUUUUGAGUGCCAAGCUUCAAGGGCAUUUAGGUCAUGAUCCCAAGAAACAGCUCCGCAUUUCCUCUUUAAGGGAUCUAGCUGAAGGUAGCCUUUUGCAUUGUAAAAUUAAUGGCCUCGCUUUAAAAAACUUCCAGCCCAUCAACCAGAUCUUUCAAAAGGGGUUUCCAAAUGUAAAAUCAAAGAUUUAAGGGCACACCAACAAUAAUACCCCACCCCUAUAAUUGGAAUAUUGUUGCAUUUUUUAGGUUUCUAUUACCCUACAACAUUUAUUUAUGUGUCUUGCUUAUUUGCAUCAGUUGAAGUCCCCUUGCAUGUCACCAUCCACUUUUGAAAUAUGAGGGAACAAGAAUGUGUCCACAUUACACAGAUGCCCCACUCGCACUAUCAUUUUCUAUGUUUAGUGGACUGUGAAAUUGGAAUAAAUUCUCUAAUUUGGCAUUAAAAUUAGAAAGAUCUUAUCAAAGGGAACAUGUAUACUAAGUUUCAAGUUGAUUGGACUUCAAACUUCAUCAAAAACUCCUUGACCAAAAUUUAACCUGAGCGGACAGACGGAUGACGAACAGACGGCGGACGGACAGACGGAGGAAGAACGAACGGAUGUGCAGACCAGAAAACAUAAUGCCCCUCUACUAUCGUAGGUGGGGCAUAAAAACAUGUCAGUAUCAUAUAUAUAGGUCUCUUGAAGGCUUUUUGCCAGAAAGGCAUUAGUAAACUUUUUCUAAGCUCUUAUCAUUGAAUGAUUUGAAAAUUAUAUUGUAUUUUUUUUUGUGUUUAAAGUUUUUUUUAUGUAUAUAAGUAAGUAUCUGUUUGAAGUCUAUAAAAAAAACCAUUUACUAUAUAUAUAUAUUGAAAAUAUAUAUAAUGUUCAAUGUAAACAAGUCGUCUUAGAUUUCACAAUUUUAAAUAUUUUCAUAUAUAAUUAUAAACAUGAUAAGAAUGGUUAAUAUUUAUGUAUACUGGUUAAAUUUGAGUUUUCCUCAAGUUAGAUUUUAUGGGACUUUUUUCUGUGUAUAUUUUGGACUUAAGGUAGCACAAUACAAAGAUUUUUCAUCCCCAAUCAGACAUCUUCAAGUGGGGACAUCACAAUAUAGCAACUAAUUACAUAAUAAUUAAUUAUGUAAUAAUUAUGUCAUAAUGAAAUUAUCACAAUUUGAAAGAUUAAUCUUUCUUCUUUCUUUUGGUACCUCAUUUAUAAAGUAUUUGUAAAGGACAGUAAACCCAAUAUUCAGUCGCUCUUCGGCCAUCACGCAUGCCAAGUUUUUUCUUUUCAUGAGGAAAGCACUGUUUAAAUGUUACAAGAUAUUUCAUUUACAUUUUUCAAUUUAGCUAUAUUUUGAUGAGAUACAUUUAAUACUCUGCCAACAAAUUGACCAUUAUUCAGACGAAGCUGAAUAUAUUCCGACAUCUUGAAAAUAUUUGUUCUGGUGUACGGGAGAUAACUCCCAUAGCAACAAACGCCGAUUUUCCGUUUUCCGCUAGAGGCGUUCAUUUACGUACCUCUCACCUUAAAGAUGCAUUUUAACCAAUUACUUGUCGAAAAUGUGAAAUCAGUAUAGAAAUUAGGAUAGGUUUAUUAUUUUUUGGUGAUUGAUUGUUUGCUUUGUGCCUCCUAAGCAUAAUAGUAUAAUAAAUAUUGUCUAGUACUUCUUACUUGAAAACUGCUUGUAUAAUAUUUUAUCUAUUUUUUUUAUAGAAAUGAUAGUAAUAUAAAACAAGAAGAUUUUUCCUUGAAAUACUAAGAAUACUGAGAAUUGAAGAUAAGCCUUAAGGUAUAUAUCCACAUUUUUUAUAGGAACUUUUAAAUUCUACAUUUUUUUCAACUGACAUGUGAUUUAUUUCACCCAAAGACUGUUCCUCAGCUAUCACUGUUUAAAAGAAAAUGUUUCCUAAAUAUAUAUCUAAUAUGCAAUGCUAUAAAGUGAGAUGGUAGCAUCAAAAAGGUAAUGGAAAAACAAUUUGAUUUUGAUAUUUAUCAUAUACAGGUGCAAACAAAUUCAGGGUGUUUAAAUGUUUUGAUUGGAACCAGCCUUCACCCUUACCUCAAACAAUAGUGUAACAUCACAAGAUAGAAAGACACACUAUAAAUUAUCAAUCAAAAGACAUAUAAACACAAACAAGUGAACAUACACUGAAUGAAUACAUUUGAUCUAUGAUACAAUGUAAAUAAAGCAUAUUUAGUAUAUUUGUAUUUCUUCACUUAUCAUCUUAUUAUCAAUUUUGAAAUGUAUUUGAAUCUUAAACAGCUGAAGAUCUACCUACUUUCAAAUUUAACAAAGUUAAUGAAAGCUAGGAUUUUUUUUGAAUAAUUGAUCUAUUAAAUUAAUAUUUUUGAUCAUGUUUGGAACAAAGUGCUUUGUAAGUCUAGGGAGGCUAAUAGACUAAUAUUGAAUUGUAAAUUGUAUAGUAUGUAUAUAUAUAUUCAAGUUGCACUAAAAUAUACAAAUAUUAUAUGUAAAAUAGAAUUACGGAAAAAGAAAUUAUUAAUAUAAUAUACAAAUAUAUGUGUGAAGAUAUAACAACCAAAGUAUAAUAAGAGGAUAGAAAUAGUCCUAACAUCUGCGAAAUAUACAAUUUUGACAUGUUUUUUCUUCAAUUAUUAUCAAUUUUGAAAUGUAUUUGAAUCUUAAACAGCUGAAGAUCUGCCUACUUUCAAACUUAACAAAUUUAAUGAAAGGUUUACCUUUUGAAAUAUAACCAACUGACGUCUUGUUUAAAAUAGCUAUUGAAUUUUCUAAUACAUCUUUGAUAAAUAUAAUUUUAGGCCAAUCUUCCAUACUACGAGAUAUUCAGGUAAAAAUAAGAAAAAGGACAUUGUUUGAAUACCUCAUUUUUCACUGCUAUUCAAAAGACUUUUUGAUUUUUUUUUUGUAUUUGACAUGACCUUUGCUAUUUUAUAGAUUUAUACUUAUGUUAAAAAAUAUGAUUGUAUAACUUGACAAAUUAUCAAUGCAGGUGCAUGGAAGAAAAUGUAAACCUUGAUAUAUGACUGGAUUAUAAAAGAGAGAAAGAAGAAAGAAGAUCGGCAUACCAAAUGAAAAAAUAGAACUUAAUGGAUUAAGGUAAAUAGUUUUUAAAUAUUCAUUUUAACUUUUCAAUAUAACAUGCAUAACAUAAAUCUAGCAGUAAUGUUUAGAAAUGUUUUAUGACCUUUCCCAGGGAUUCUUUAAUGAUCAUGAUGAUAAUAAUUAAUCAGGGGGAAAAACCCAAAUUAGAACUAUUAAAGACCUGUUUUUGUUGAAUAAGUAGAAGUUUAUCUCAGUGUGAAUCUGGCAAUUAUUUUACACAAUAACAAGUUAGUCAUAUAUGGCAUGUACUCAGUUAAGCAAAACAAAAAACGUUUACUGGCUUUUCAUGUGCACCUAUUUUUCAUGCAAAUGCUUAAUUUUAGGCUCUCAUUAAUAGCAAAAUGCUAGCUCUGACAUAUUAACCAAAGUGUUACAUACUAAGUAUCUGCAACUCUCCUCAUAUCAGAUAUACUUAUAUGGUUGUCACACAAUUAAUCCUCUGUCCUUCUUCAGGGUCUCUGUCUGAAAGAAGUAUCUUCAAUAUAUAUGAUUCAGUCAAUUUCUAAACCAGAUUGGAGAAGGUGUAUCAAUUUGUGAGGUCAGCUACAGUUUUCCAUGUUUUGUGUUUUGACCUGUAGCUCUUAAAGUUUGAAUAAGGCUACUGCAUGCUAACAUAAGUAUUAUUAGAUAAUUCAUAUUCUGUGAUUUAAGUCCUAUAGAACCUGUUAUUAGUAAAAACAUAGAGGGUACGUUUAUAGAAUGAUUGUUUUCAGUUUGAAUGAUAUAGGAUAUAUCUUGAGGUAUGUAAUAAUGUCAAUGAGAUAGCAACAUGAAUGAUACAUAAACUGUAAACACAAAUUUAAUUCAACUAAAAAAACUUAUAUGGGAAAAUCCACAGAAUGAAUCUCUUAAAAAUAUAUUAAAGUACACUUUGUUAAAAAGAUAUAGUUUUAGGAGUGUUACUUUUGUUAAUAGUUUUUCACAAAGGUGAGAUUUAAUGGACUAUAAUAAAAAUAAGAUACUUUUAGUAAAUGUAAAGGGAACAUUCGAACGGAUAUUGAUAAAAUAUUUUGUAGAAAUUCAAUAUUCAUUAUAUUCCAGGAAGAUACUCAUUGUUAAAGUUUCAGUUGAUGGCUUGAUAAUUUUUUUUAGCUUCAUCUAAUGACACUGGAAGAUAUUCAUUGUAUAAAUUUCAGUUGAUGGCUUGGUAAAUUGUUUAGGUUUCAGCUAAUUACACUUGACUUGAAGAUUCUCAUUGUUUAAAUUUCAGUUGAUGGCUUGUUAUGUUUAAGUUUCAUCUAAUGACACUGGACAAUAUUCAUUGUUUAAGUUUCAGUUGAUGGCUUGGUAAAUUGUUUAAGUUUCAUCUAAUGACUCUUGAAGAUACUAAUUGUUUAAAUUUCAGUUGAUGGGUUGAUAAAUUGUUUAAGUUUCAGCUUAUGACACUGAAAGAUACUUAUAGUUUAAGUUUAAGCUAAUGACACUGGAAGAUAUUCAUUGUUUAAGUUUCAGUUGAUGGCUCGGUAAAUUGUUUAAGUUUCAUCUAAUGACACUGGAAGAUUCUCAUUGUUUAAAUUUCAGUUGAUGGCUCAGUAAAUUGUUUAAGUUUCAUCUAAUGACACUGGAAAAUAUUCAUUGUUUAAGUUUAAGCUAAUGACUCUUGAAGAUAUUCAUUGUUUAAGUUUCAGUUGAUGGCUCGGUAAAUUGUUUAAUCUUCAUCUAAUGACACUGGAAAAUAUUCAUUGUUUAAGUUUCAGUUGAUGGGUUGAUAAAUUGUUUAAGUUUCAUCUAAUGACACUGGAAGAUUCUCAUUGUUUAAAUUUCAGUUGAUGGCUCGGUAAAUUGUUUAAGUUUCAUCUAAUGACACUGGAAAUAUUAUUGUUUAAGGUUUCAGUUGAUGGUUUGAAUAAUUGUUAAGUUUUCAUUAUGAUCUGAAGAUUCUCUUGGUUUAAAUUUCAGUUGAUGGUGUAUUGUUUAAGUUUCAUCUAUGAACUGGAAAAUAUUCUUGUUUAAGUUUCAGUUGAUGGGUUGAUAAAUUGUUUAUAGUUCAUCUAAUGACUCUUGAAGAUUUCAUUGGUUUAAAUUUCAGUUGAGUGGCUUGAUAAAUUGUUUAAGUUUCAUCUAAUGACUCUGAAGAUUCUAUUUUUAAUUAGUUUGUGGCUGAUAAAUUGUUUUAAGUUUCAUCUAAUGACACUUGAAGAUCUAUUGUUUAAUUUCAGUUGAUGGUUGAUAAAUUGUUUAGUUUAUCUAAUGAUCUGAAGAUUCUAUUGUUUAAAUUUCGUUGAUGGCUUAUAAAUUGUUUAAGUUUCAUCUAGAACUCUGAAAUUCUCAUGUUUAAAUUUCUAGUUGAUGGCUUGAAUAAUUAGUUUAAGUUUCAUCUAAUGACAUCUUGAAGAUUUCAUUGUUAAAUUUCAGUUGAUGGAAUGAAUAAAUUUUUAAGUUUCAUCUAAUGACUCUGAAGAUUCUCAUUGUUUAAAUUUAGUUGAUGGUUUGAUAUUGUUUAAGUUCAUCUAAUGAUCUUGAAGAAUUCCUAUUGUUUAAGAUUUCAGUUGAUGGUUUUGAUUAAAUUGUUUAGUUUCAUCUAAUGAUCUGAAGAUUCUCAUUGUUUAAAUUAUCAGUGAUGGUUUGAUAAUUGUUUAAGUUUCAUCUAAUGACACUGGAAGAUAUUCAUUGUUUAUGUCUCAAUUGAUCACAGGUUAAAGUUUUUCUGUGGAUUACAGAAUAAAGUUUUUGUGUUGGUAACCGGAUGAAGUUUCUCAGUUGGUGACGGGAUAAAGUUUUUCAGACGAUGAAAGGAUAAAGUUUUUUCAGUCAAUGAUAGGAUAUAGUUUCAUUUGAUGUCAGGAUAAACUGUUGAACAUGUUGAAGUUCCUGUUGAUGUCAGGAUAAACUAUUGAACAUGUUGAAGUUCCUGUUGAUAACAGGGUAAACUUUCUGUAAAUAAAACUUUUGUUAAACAUUAUGUAACAAUUUCUACUUUAUUUUAGAUAUAGUUUGACAAGAAAGAGUAAGCUAUGUAUUCUUUGAUUGGAACAGUGACUGUCCUGUUAGUUCUGUGUCAAACCCUGGUGGGAAUUACAUUUGUAAAGUCAGAUGAUUGUGCAAACAUAAGUGGAAGUAAGUUUAUGAACUAUUCUACUUUUGCAUUCAAAUGGCCAAAAAUAUAUAACAACUCUGAUAUUUCUACAAACCAAAGUACUGCUA
rnacentral:lncRNA from 1 species